CGCCUGGGGAGUACGGCCGCAAGGUUAAAACUCAAAUGAAUUGACGGGGGCCCGCACAAGCGGUGGAGCAUGUGGUUUAAUUCGAUGCAACGCGAAGAACCUUACCUGGUCUUGACAUCCACGGAAGUUUUCAGAGAUGAGAAUGUGCCUUCGGGAACCGUGAGACAGGUGCUGCAUGGCUGUCGUCAGCUCGUGUUGUGAAAUGUUGGGUUAAGUCCCGCAACGAGCGCAACCCUUAUCCUUUGUUGCCAGCG
rnacentral:rRNA from 4 species